UUCAUCUCUCUCUGUUAUACACAUCUCAGUAACCUCCAAUAUGAAGGGGAAGUGCAACUGAACAAGGAUGUAGAUUUUUUUUCAAUAUUAAAAGGAAGCAGUUAGUCUUUGGAAAUAAGGACCACAUUAUCAUAAUGACUCCUGAGAUACUUGCCAGGGAGACUCUGAACAAUUUAGUAGAAGUCCUGAGCUACUUCAGAGUCUUCAGAUUUGAGACUUCA
rnacentral:lncRNA from 1 species